GGAUGCAAGAACCAUUUGGCUAAGACAUCUAAAACCCCAUUGUCCACAAGGGAUGAGCUGGCCGGCUGGGUAGAUGUCUCCUUCAUACCUCACUGUAGCAUACAGUAUAUGCCCCUCAAAAAACUGUCCAUUUGGUGGAAUAGGACACCAUAUGAGAUAGAAACUGUGUACCAUUCAGUCAACAGUAUAUGAUAGCUGUACUCCUGCUACAGUGUCCAAAGAAAAACAAGGUUCAUUUACAGAAAAAAAAACCUAGGGAUUCCUAAAUCCACCAAAUGAAUCAAAUAACCUUUCUUGUGAGUAGCAAGAAUGUUCUCU
rnacentral:snRNA from 1 species